rnacentral:lncRNA from 1 species
GUAGAUGGCUUUAUGUACAUGCACAGCAGCAAAGGCGUACUUGCUGUCAGUGUAAAUGUUAAUAAGUUUAUUCUUACUUUAUUGGAGAGCCUGAGUGAGGGCGAUCAAUUCAGCCUUUUGUGCUGAGGUGUUCGCUGGUAAAGCUUGAGCUUACAACAAAUGUGUCUCCGUGGUAACAGCUGCACUGGCUCUUCAUAUUUCCUGCUUGAGGAAGCUGCUACCGUCUGUGAACACGGCGGCAUCUGCCUUUUCUAGGGGCACAGCUUGAAGAUCAGAUAGGCCAGUUUCGAUAGUUUCUAACAGUUCUUGACAGUCAUGAGCAGGAAUAGUGGAGUCUGAGUCAGGAAGUAGUGUAGCUGGAUUGUAACACUUUGUGGGAGAGAAAGUCAAACGAGGCUGAUCUAACAGUAAACUUUGAUACCGCAAGAUGCGAGCAUUUGACAUCUAUUUGCCAGAAGCAUUUUGUAGUAAGGUCUUUACGGCGUGAGGAGCUGUAAGGGUUAAAUUUUGGCUUAGAGUUAACUUAUCAUCUUCUUGGGCCAGGCUUGCUGUAGCCGCUAAGGCUCGAAGACAACUUGGCCAUCUAGAGGCCACAGGAUCUAGCCUCUUAGACAAAUAGGCCACUGGGCGGCUUUAGGGUCUUAAAGUCUGAGUAAGCACGUCUUUAGCAACUCCUUGGCUUUUAUGGAGAUAUUAGGGAGGGCUAAAGCAGGGGCUUCAGUUAAUGCUAAAUUAACGGGCUACUUCAUUCUGUACUUCUUGGAUGGCUGCCACUAAGAUUUUUGUUUGUCUUCUGAAUGCUUUAUCAGCGGCCUUUCCAGUUGCCUGUGUUGCUUUUGUUUUUUAAGCUUUUGAUUAUCAAAAACUUUUUGGGCUAUUUCUAAAAGCUGACUGAUAUUUAUUCUAGAAAAUCUUUAGUUUUUGGAGUUUCUUUUUAAUAUCCUGGGCUGCCUGAGCCACAAAUGCUAAAUUAAGAGCAAGGCUAUUUUCGGGAGCUGCCGGGUCAAAAGGGGUGUAAAUCCGAUAAGCCUCCUGGAGGCGCUCUAAAACGUUCUUGGUGACUUAUCGGGCUUUUGGACAACGUCGGUCGUCUUAGACAAGUUGAUGGGUUUCUGAGAGGCUCUUUUAAUACUUGCGAGGAGAUACCAGUGAAAAUCGUCUAAAGCUCCCUUUCUACUUGAGGAAUGUGGGUCCUGGUUAGGCUGGGUAGAGGGAAAGACAUCCUCAAGGAGGUCUCUAGCUUCUUCUUCCGGUCCGUUGGCUGAUGUGAGGAAGUACUUUUUGGCUUCUUUUUGGAUACGUUCCUUCUUUUCAGAGGUGAAAAGGGUUAAAAGGAGCUGUUGGCAAUCAUCUUAGGUGGGCGGGCGGGUCCGGAGUACAGACUCUGUCAGAGAGGUCAAAGCCUGGGGCUUUUCAGAGAAGGGAGGAUUAUGGGUUUUCUAAUUAUAUAAGUCAGAAGUAGAAAAAGGGACACAAACUAAGAAGGGUGCUGAGCGCUCGUCACCUGGAGGGACUUGUGCCUCUCUCAGUGGUAGUAGAGGGACUACUUCUUCCUGCCACGGUCAUGACUGAGAGGCAAUGGGUGGCGAGCCUACAGGGGACGUCGUCGAGGAGACAUGGGAUAACUUUAAGGGAGAAGAAACUCCUGGAGGGCAGAGGCAUGCCUGCCAUCUUCAUCAUUGCAUUACCACCACCCAACACUAUCGGGGGACCUGCCCUGAUAAUCAGUCUACAGGUGUAUCCAGCAGCUCCAGAGAGACAGCGACCAGCGAGAAGGGGCCAUGAUGAUGGUGGUGGUUUUGUCAAAACGAAAAGGGGGAUA